GAUGAACGCUGGCGGCGUGCCUAAUACAUGCAAGUCGAGCGAACGGACGAGAAGCUUGCUCCUCUGAUGUUAGCGGCGGACGGGUGAGUAACACGUGGAUAACCUACCUAUAAGACUGGGAUAACUUCGGGAAACCGGAGCUAAUACCGGAUGAUAUUUUGAACCGCAUGGUUCAAAAGUGAAAGACGGUCUUGCUGUCACUUAUAGAUGGAUCCGCGCUGCAUUAGCUAGUUGGUAAGGUAACGGCUUACCAAGGCAACGAUGCAUAGCCGACCUGAGAGGGUGAUCGGCCACACUGGAACUGAGACACGGUCCAGACUCCUACGGGAGGCAGCAGUAGGGAAUCUUCCGCAAUGGGCGAAAGCCUGACGGAGCAACGCCGCGUGAGUGAUGAAGGUCUUCGGAUCGUAAAACUCUGUUAUUAGGGAAGAACAUAUGUGUAAGUAACUAUGCACAUCUUGACGGUACCUAAUCAGAAAGCCGCGGCUAACUACGUG
rnacentral:rRNA from 1 species